ensembl:lincRNA
AUGAGAUGGCUGGAUGGCAUCACUGACUCAAUGGACAUGAGUUUGAGCAGAAUCCACCUGCAAUUCAGGACACCUGGGUUCGAUUCCUGGGUUCGGGAUAUCCCCUGGAGAAGGGAAAGGCUACCCAGUCCAGUAUUCUGGCCAGGAGAAUUCCAUGGACUGUAUAGUCCAUGGGGUCACAAAGAGUCAGACACGACUGAGAGAUUUUCACUUCACUUCACAGGAGAUGGUGAAGGACAGGGAAGCCUGGUGUGCUGCAGUCCACGGGGUGGCAAAGAGUCAGACUUGAAUGAGCAACUGAACAACAACCUUACAUGUAAGAGCUUAGACUUCUGGCAUCCAGUCCAGGCCAGUAGCAGAGGCUGUCGGGAUUCCGAAGCAGGAAGCAGGGCAAGAAGAUGGAGGAGCUGUCACAGCCCAGGGCCGAGUGAGGACACCACGGUGCCAGCACGUGGCACACUCGCUGCUGCCCUGGGGCCAAGGAAGUGCAUCCUGUGUGGGCAGUCCUGCCAACCACUGCGAGCCACCUGGAUUCUUGCCCAGUUGGGGACAUGGGUCUGGAUCACCCCAGCUGUCCUGGCCACCCAAGUCAAGUAAAUGAGAUUUGGGUAAUUUAAAAUCAGAUUUGGAUGCCUACUAACCCAGGACUCUGUCUCAGGGGGUAGAACUGGGGCUGGAGGCAAGAGACCAAAUGAGGCUUUGUGCCUCCUCUGCAAUGCCCCAUUUUAUUUUUUAUUUUCUCAAGAAAAAUGUAUUCAUGGGUAAGAAUGAAUACAUUGGGUAUGUAUUCGUACCCAACUACUUCGGUAAUAAUAAAAAGAAACUUAAAAAAAAAAAGAUCAGACCUUAAAAACGUACUAUAAAAAUAUUAAUUGUCUAAGAAGGGAUUCCAGGGUUCCUUUUCAGAGCUAGAGGUGGGCACUGCCUGGUUGAGACAGUGCUCCAGACUUGCUGAAUAGUUUGGCAUCAGAUCUGGUCCUUGGGCUUCAGUUUCCCCAUCUGUACCAAGGGGAGGUGGACCCAAUAGUCUCUGAGAGUCAUUGGCCCUGACAUCAGGUAACGAGAAGCUUCACUGUCUGGUUGGGUUAUGCGGGGCCUUCUCUGCACUGUGAGGAUUCCCUUCAGAAGCAGAGGCUUGGGCCUUUGUUUGGGAGUGGGUGCCACCCACCCAGGUCUGUGGGUGACAGCAGAGCAGCCCUGGCUCUGUGGGCAGACCAGCUGAGCUGCCCUCCUGGGGUGCGGGGGGAGCUCUGCCAGGCCCCUGAAAGCCUUCAGAGUCCCCAGGCCUCGGGACAGUCAGGCCAAACGCUGGCAUUGCAGCGGGGUUCAUUGUGUCUCUCUCUGGGUUUGGGAUUGAACAGCCGUGACCUAUGUGUGUCAUUAAGACAGAGAUGGUCUGGUUAGGGACAUUGGCCCAGUGACCCUGCCCCCUAGCACUGAUCACUAUGACAACAGCUCAAUAGGGUCCCAAGGGCCCAAGAAUCCAGCUUCUACUGAGAGCGAGGUUGGCUGAGGUCAGACAAAGAGGGAUUAAUAGAGCCCUGUUCUCAUUAAGCCACAAAGCACCAUUAUUACCAGUCGCAAUGGUCCUACCAGGAGAUGCAUCAAGCUUUCAAGUCACAGAGAGCCCAGUACACUGAAGAGAAUGGUUCCAGCCUCAGCCUCAAAAUCACCCCGCUCCCAGAACCAGAGGAAGAGGAGAAAAACCAGAAAGAAACCCAAACAUCUAACAGUGACAUGAAGCACAGACAGGCGGAUGACAGCACAGAUUUCACUCAUUCAGAUGACGCUGCCAGUUAUACUUAUUACAUUAAAGUCCCUGUGAUUCACAGAAACAAGGUCACAAGACUGUCGAUUAGAUGUUAUGUUUGUAAAAAAACAAAAAAGGAUACAUAUGUAUCCAAUAAAAAUAUAGAAGAAAAUAUUUCAAAAUGUUAUCAGUGAUUACCUUUGGAAAGUGAGAUUAUGGGUAAUUUUUUCUUUAGUCUAUCUGUGUUUUCUCUAACGAACAUUCAGCUCUCUUGCACUUCUAAAAACUUUAUUUUUAAAAAAAAUUGGUUCAGAGAAUUAGAGGGUGCUUGUCCUUUCCCUUUGUAAUCAAACUUCAGUUAGUAAAAGUCAGGAGAGGGCUUUGUUUUGGAGAACCAAGUUUUCUUUAUAACUAACAAUUUAUUAAUUCAAGAACAAAUAUUUUUAAAAUGUAUAUAAAAAUGUAUAUAAGAAAAUCAUUCUGAACAACACCAUAUCCUCAUGCCUUCUUACAACAGAGUACCCUGAAAAGAAUUUAUCAUUAACUUUACCAUUGCGAAGGGUCCAAAUUCCAACUUUUUCUAUAAUAGGCUAAUCUUCAGGGCUGUUGGAUGAGCAGAAAUAUUUGUGCCUGCAUUAAAUGGCUUUAGAUUAGUCAGUUUAUUGUGUAUUUAAAUUUGCCUUCUAUAAUUUAUCAGUCUCUUCCACUGUUGAUAAACUGACAAUCUAUGUCCCACCUGUAAAAACUCUUGUACACUGUUUUAGAUUUGGUGCUUUUAAUCUACUGUCAUCUUGGGAAAUAAAGCAUACACUUGUCAGAAGUGUGAGUAAACUAAGAGAAUGUUGGUCUGAGUGGGGGCUUCAGGGUGGAGGCACUGAUAAGCUGAGACCCAGAAUGGGGAAGGGUUCCCAAUUCAUGACUCUUAUAUGCUGGGGUUAAAUCAUAUCCUAUCACAUAAGUCAUGUUAAAGAAUUUGAGCUUUAUCCUGAAGGCAAUCAGGAGCUACUGGGGGAUUUCAAGAAGGGAAGUGAGAUUCUCAUACUUGGGUUUUUAAAAGAUGACUACAACAGGGACAGUUUCAUGCGUGGGAAAGCUGUCAGAGGAAGAGACGUGGAUCUGGAAACAGAAAGGGAAGGGACUUGGGCUGGGAAGAGAUAGCUUAUCGGGGACGUUAUACAUGUGCUCUCUUCUGGCCAAUAAACCCAAACAUAUCCUCCCUUUAAGAGAGCCCUAGGCCUCUGUGCCAGGAAACGCAAUGCCUCCCCUAAGAUACAGACAUAGUUUUUAAUCUCUUGGGCCUGUGACUCUUAUAAAUAAUCACAGUUUCUCUUUGCUUUGGUCACUAGGAAGCUCUACUGUAUAUAAUUCAACACUGACUUUCUCCUUGGCUUCAUUGCAGAUAUACGGUUUCCUUUUGCCUAGAAUUUUUAAUUUAUGGUACACUUUUUGUAUCAUUUGAAUUUUCAUCAGUGGCAUACAUUUUUUUUUUACAUGUAUACACACUGCUUUAUUUGUUAAC